GGUCAAAAAGCUGAAAUAAAUUUGUCAGUUUCGCAAACAAGCAACGUAACUAAUCAAUUGAUGAUGGUAACCAAGAGGUUGAAAUGCUUCUGUGAUUUUUUUAGUUCGAAAAUCCAAUCGGUUGUCAAUUUCGCAAGCAACCAGGCCGCAAACAGCUUCAAGAAAUCUGUAUGAACUGAAAACUGUGGCUGGUUAGCAAAACUACCGGUUCCGCCAGUUGUAAACAGUUCCACUUUCAUUACAAAAACGACCCAAUUCUUUUAUUCGCAUCGACAUGCCAUUUUCUGCGUUCGUAUAUUGUCGCCGCCAGUCAGCCUCUUCGCUCAGAAAUUAAUGGCGCGUUUCUUGUUCACCAACGGCGUUGUUUCGCCACCCGCCGCCACUCCUCCGGUCGCCGCCUUCCUCGAAACCCACCCAGGCGCGUACACAACGUCCCGAACUCACAACGACGCGUCGUUCGUGCUGUUCUGGGAAAGGCACCUGAGGAGACUGGCGGACUCUGUGACAAUCCUCUUCAAUUCGAAUCCUCAACUUCUCUUCGGACCCCACUGCAAAACGACGCCGCCUUCGCUGCCGUCUCUGUCGUCCGACUCCAUCUCUCUCCGAUCGACGAUUCGCGAGCUCGUGAACCGCUCGAUGAAGCAAGUGCUGCCGAUUGCUAUGGAGGAGAGGAGGGAGGGGGAGGAGCUGUCGAUUACGGCGUUGGUCAGUGGCAAUUUGGAGAAAUUGAGGGUUGGGGAUGAGGGUUUUGAUGUGAGUAUCUACAUUGGUAGUUAUGUGCCUGCUGUGUUUGGUAUCAGAGAAAACGGUGCGUUUUUGGCUGUGGUGGGUCGCGGGAGAGAUUUUGCUGCUGCAAAGUACUCGGAUUGGGUAAGGAUGAGGAAGUCUUUGGAGAGGUUGAGGCCGCCGAAGGGGACGGAGCUCUUGUUGUCCAAUGAUGGUGAUCGGAUUCUUGAGGGCACCGUGUCUAACUUGUUCGUUGUCCGCCGGAAGGAUAUCAGUGAAGCUAAAGCCGAAAGUAUGCACUGUUUUGAAGUACAGACAGCCCCUCUUAGUGGUGUCCUUCCAGGAAUUAUUCGGCAACUGGUCAUUGAAGUCUGCUUAAGCAAGGGAAUUCCCUUGAGAGAAGUUGCACCAUUGUGGUCAGAGAGAGAAUUUUGGGCAGAGGCAUUCAUUACAAGCAGCUUGAGACUUCUGCAGCACGCGAAGACAAUUAGUUUUCCAAGUUCAUGGGAAUCACUGGAUUCUAAUUCUUUGGAGGACAUCACAUGGAUAGACAAGCAUUUUGAGGACGGCCCUGGGAUGAUCACGACAAUAAUCCAGAAAGAGGUCAUGGAAAAGGCAGUUUUAGAAGGGUACUCCGUCAGUUACUUAUAAAAGGAGGAUAGAUCUUCUUCUUGCAUGGUACUUGUACGUCUCCAUGAGUUUAUCGUCUUGUCCCUCCCUUCAAUGCUGGAACGGGUGAUAACAAGCUUGAAUUUACGUCGUUUGUCAAGUCUCAUACUUCCAGUGUACCCAUUCCAAACUAGGCAGGAGCAACAUCGGUUGUCGUAUAUGAGAAUCCCGGAAACCAAACAGAACCCAGUAACUUUUCACGUACGGUCUCAUCAAAAGACCGGAACCUGUCUAUGUAACCACCGGAAUAGCCGAUCUUAGCAGGAAUUCAGCUGAGUGGCACCCUUAAUUGUUGGGGACCAACUUUUGCUUCAUCUUUUGCACAGUUGCAGCUAAAGCUAUGUGUGAACCAUAAAAAUGCAAAAGCUUAAAUGCAUUAUUGUCCAAUGUCUUUG